GGCUCAGAUUGAACGCUGGCGGCAGGCCUAACACAUKSMAGUCGAGCGGUAGAGAGAAGCUUGCUUCUCUUGAGAGCGGCGGACGGGUGAGUAAUACCUAGGAAUCUGCCUGAUAGUGGGGGAUAACGUUCGGAAACGGACGCUAAUACCGCAUACGUCCUACGGGAGAAAGCAGGGGACCUUCGGGCCUUGCGCUAUCAGAUGAGCCUAGGUCGGAUUAGCUAGUUGGUGAGGUAAUGGCUCACCAAGGCUACGAUCCGUAACUGGUCUGAGAGGAUGAUCAGUCACACUGGAACUGAGACACGGUCCAGACUCCUACGGGAGGCAGCAGUGGGGAAUAUUGGACAAUGGGCGAAAGCCUGAUCCAGCCAUGCCGCGUGUGUGAAGAAGGUCUUCGGAUUGUAAAGCACUUUAAGUUGGGAGGAAGGGCAUUAACCUAAUACGUUGGUGUCUUGACGUUACCGACAGAAUAAGCACCGGCUAACUCUGUGCCAGCA
rnacentral:rRNA from 1 species